rnacentral:rRNA from 1 species
AGAGCGAACGCUGGCGGCAGGCCUAACACAUGCAAGUCGAACGGACCCUUCGGGGUUAGUGGCGGACGGGUGAGUAACACGUGGGAACGUGCCUUUAGGUUCGGAAUAGCUCCUGGAAACGGGUGGUAAUGCCGAAUGUGCCCUUCGGGGGAAAGAUUUAUCGCCUUUAGAGCGGCCCGCGUCUGAUUAGCUUGUUGGUGGGGUAAUGGCCCACCAAGGCUACGAUCAGUAGCUGGUCUGAGAGGAUGACCAGCCACAUUGGGACUGAGACACGGCCCAAACUCCUACGGGAGGCAGCAGUGGGGAAUCUUGCGCAAUGGGCGAAAGCCUGACGCAGCCAUGCCGCGUGUAUGAUGAAGGUCUUAGGAUUGUAAAAUACUUUCACCGGUGAAGAUAAUGACUGUAGCCGGAGAAGAAGCCCCGCUAACUUCGUGCCAGCAGCCG